UGGGGCCCCUGCAAACCUGGGUGGUGGACCCCGAAUUUCUGCAUCCGUUCGACGUGUCAGUUGAUGGACGGUUUGAACUUCGUCACCGGAUAGAAAACUAACGGAAGUUAAUCUGUUAUUUUUGUGGUCAAAUAGGAGGCGAGAUGCAGUCGAUUCUGUGAAGCAAGAUGCACAGAAGAUCCUUGGAGAUGGAAAUAAUCUACUAAAUGAGGAUAACGAGCUCUCUGACAACAUCAACAAGGAGCUGGAGGACGUGGAGGAGAUGAAGAGAGAGCUCGGUCGUCUUCAUGCUCUGCUGAAUGACAAGGUUCAGGGCCUUACCGACGGCUUGAGUGAUGGCAUGCUAGCUGAACAUGUCCACGAAGCAGAGGAACAUGCCAAACAGCUAAAUGAAUCAGCAGCCAUUUUAGAUGGAAGUUAAUCUGGAUGUAAGCCAUCACACUUUGCCACAGCUCAGUGUUGUCUCCACUUUAUAAGAUUGUGGCCAUCUUUUUCAAAACUGAGGACCUGAUCAUCAAUACAUUAACUUCACAAGAACAAGAACAUUAGGAAGAGGACUCAGGAGAAACGUAACAAGUUGCUGCUGUUGGAGAGAGGAGGGGAGAACAGUAGAAAGCAGUGAAGGCAGCUUUGUCACAUGACUCUGCUGUAUAAAUCAACUAGCUGCCAUCAGUACCAAACGUCCUCAAAGUGGGUGGGAAGGAGGGGACUUCAACUUCUGAUUUCAGUGUGGAGUCUCUCUGCAGUAAGACGGAUCCUGAUCUAAUCACAGAUAGACGACUACACCAGGCUCCUGGCCGUCCUCCUUUAGACGUCUCCCAUGGCCACACAGACCUCAAGUGAUAAGAGGUAGAGAGCAGAAUUCCUGGUUCCAUCGAUCACAACAGCAGCAAAGCAGCGUCGGACCAGACCGUCACAAUACUGCCACCAUGUUUAACUGAUGCUUCGGGAUUCUGGUGGAAUAACCUGAUUUAAUCCUGCAUCCAAGAACACGAUUCCUACAAGGCCAUGCAACGUCAUCCUGCCAUACGAUGCUGCACUGCAUGCAUGCUGGCGUCCUCUGUGCAUUCCUUUGAGGCAUGCACCUUCUGAUGAUGGAGUUGUGGAAGCAUGAUAUUCAUCUUCUCAUUGAUGCUGCUCUGGGUCUGCCAGGCAGACAGCCCAUAAACCCAGGGCAUAUGUGGAACUCCAAAAAAAACGUCUCGUCGUCAAACAUCCACCAAGCAUCUCAGCUGAGUGCAAUCAAGCCGCCGUUUGAGUCUCAUCCCUGGGAUGCUGGCUUUCAGCUGGGCCUGAACACGAUUCCCUGACACCACUGAGCACACAGCUGUAUCCCAGAACUUAGAUUCUGAUUAAAUGGAAACAGAACAGCCCAUUAAAGUCAUUAACAUACGUCUCGAGUAUGCAUGGGGGAUGUGCACCAAAGGAUGUGCAUGCACAGUAAUGUAGUGCAUACAUUAAGAAAAGAUCCUCAGAUAGGACUUGAAAGAGCACAUCUUGCAAAAGCUUAUAUAUAUUAUUUAUUACUCAGACAUCAAAAAGGAGACUUUGUAAUGACCUUUUUAAUUCAUAUGCAAAGGUAAAGCAGAUUCUGUAUAUGGAAAUCCGCCCAAAAGCACAGCACUGGAGGCUAUAUCCUGACUGUGUUGGCCUGGCAGAGCAUGGCUUCCCAUUUCACAGCUGCCAGGAUCUUUGAAUUCAUGUUACAGCAGAUAUGAUCCUGGUUUUUAUCUCACAGCCAAUCAUGGAGGACAUGUGCUUCUUUUAAUUUCUCAGAUUAGGAUGCGGCAGUAAUCCGACCUCAAACCAGACAAAAAAAUUACUUUUCCUUAGGAUUUUUAAUAAAACUCAUUGGUCCGAUUAUUUAAAUUUUAUUUCUGGAAGAUGAAGAAAAGUUUUUUUUAUUUUUUUUUUAUUUCUUUAUAUCUAAAAUUGUAUAUAUCUUUCUAUAAAUUCAAUAUUCUUACACAGUCUAAAAAAAUGUGGAAGUUGCUUCAGUGUACCACCAUCUGCUUAAUAUUUGUUGUCAUUACAAGUGGCACAGGGGUCGAGUCCAGGCCUGUUGACCUUUGCUGCAUGACUUCCCCCUCUCUCUCCACCUGAUUUCCUGUCAGUCAACUUACAAAAUAAAGGCCACUUGUGCCCCCACACAUAAAAAAGUGGCCCAAAUGCUGGGUGAAAAAUCUUAAGAUUUGAGUUUGAAAAUAAAAAUGUGCAGCAAGCCUGUAAAUUACAGUUUAUCUAAAUAUAAAUUAUUAUUAUUACUUCAGCCUCAUUUUGCA